AUCACGGAAGACAGCGCGCUUUGUGCUCGAAGACUUGCCGCGUUCGAAGAUAAAGCGUUAUGAAAUGUUAAGAAGAAAGGCGGUCGACCCGAUCAGUUUGUGUUAAAACAGUUGAAGACUUCCUUCGCAAACACGCAUGCAUCAAAUGAAGUUUAUUUCGGAGAAGGGAGUGAACAUAACGCCAUGCUACAAGCUAAAGUGAUCGCGCACCUGUCUGCCAUGAUGUGAUUUCGUUUCGGGGAUUGACCUAGAUUUGAAGAUCGACAUAAUAUAGCUCGCUACAAAGAGAUCUGUGAUUGCCGAAAGGUUGCUGUGUUUUAAAAUACUGCAGGGAAGUUGUUUUUAUAGUACAACAAUGUUCAUCGAAACAUUAGAAUUCACAAUCCCAGUGGAUUUGUGUGAUCUGUUUUCUACGCUGAAACGAGGUCCAAGAUCUAAUCUUGAAUUCCCGGCAUCCGUGAACUCGUACGGCACUACUCAAGAUGCCAGUGUGCAGGUUGUGUUGCGCUCAAACAAAUUGACGUUUAAAGUCGACGGUGUGUCGUCUGAUGCAAGCAUUAUAUCAAAAAGUGAAAGCAAAACAUUAAAAUUGUCAGUGUUUGAUGUUGAUCGGACUUUAAUGCCUCAAGAAAAUGACAAUUACAAUUCCAACAAUAUGACUAUCUCCGAAAUGCACCAUUCAACACCUGUGUUAAAUCAAUUCAAAAGGCAUCACGAAGUGUCAGUGUCACAACCUCCUGCUAAAAGCAUUAGGACUUCUUAUUCUGAGUCUCCAAGACCCAGAUCUCCUGUUCAUCGUCGCUCACAACCUCAUAUCUCUCCACGUCAGUCUCCAAACAUACAGUCAAAAUCUCAACAAAAUGACACGCCAGUGAAUGUGAAACUAGAACCAGAAGAUCCAGAUUUAAUAGAAAUAGAACCUGACGACAUUGUGCCAAAGAAAGAGACUCCAUACAUGCAAAUAGAUUAUUCAUCAGAUGUACCUCAUACGCAAACGUCCCAAGCAGCUCUUGAUCGACUCUCUCAUCCACAAUCAUCACAUUCUCAAUCACCCGGUUCUUCAUCUUCGUCCUUCCAUCAAAACGUUCCACAUGUGCCAGAUUUCGCCGAACCCAGUACUAGUCAAGCAAGAUAUGGUGACCAAAGUGCAGAUGACUUUUUAGUAUUCCAAGAUGAAAACGAUGACGGCGAUGAUAACGAAGCAGAUUACAGCAAUGACGAUAUGACUGGUUUGGCAACAUAUUUCCCUCUCCAGGAAAGUCUCCUGCCAGAUUAUGGAGCACACACUAGCAAUCUAAGACCCACCGAAACAUCUAAACGUUGCUUUCCCUGCCCCAAAUGUACCAAAAUGUUUACCGACAGCAGUGCACGCCAGAGACACGUGAAUGCUAUACAUGAAAAUUUGGUUUACAACUGUGUUUGUGGACGAAAGUACAAUUAUCAGCAGAGCUACAUUCGCCACAAGAAAACCUGCUCGUUGUAUCAUGCAUCGCUGCAGUCCAGAUUAAACACCAAAUAAAAGUGAUCAAAUCGCACAUGAACAAGAAAACCUGCACAUUGUAUCAUGCAUCACUGCAGUCCAGAUUAAACACCAAAUGAAAGUGAUCAAAUCGCACAUGAACAAGAAAAACUGCUCGUUGUAUCAUGCAUCACUGCAGUCCAGAUUAAACACCAAAUGAAAGUGAUCAAAUCGCACAUGAACAAGAAAAACUGAACAUCAUUUUUCUGUGCCAAAAACUUCAGGGUCCACAAGCCUGAACUUGGCUCUGAGCCAUUUUCAAUACGUUUUGGUGUUAUCACAUGGAGUUUUAUCAGCUGAUCUUACUUGAGUGAAAAUAAUUUUACAAAACUCAGGCUUUGGAAUAGUGGCUAAUGUCAGGAACUAUUUAGAAAUUGUCAAAUACAGUGGUUGUUAGGAGAUGUUUCUUCAAAAACGUUUAAAUAACAUGGGACAUUUGAACAAGAACAUAGGAGCUGUCUUGAGAUAGACAAAUUCAGUUGUUGUACAAUGUUGCCCCAAAACUUUCACUCGAAGUGAUUUGUAGUUACUAGAUUGUCUUCCAGAAGGUAUUGAUGCUUUGUGAUUGUGUGAUCAGAGGGUUUAAGAGGACAGUGGGUCAGCUUUUGACCCAACUCUAGAUUCCCAUGAGGAUUCCAGGUUAAAAUUGGUGGCCAGCAACCUAUGCUGGUUGUAAGAAGCAACCAAUGGAUCGGGUGGUCAGGCUGGUGACUAGGUUGAUAGCGUGUCAUUGUGCCCUGUUGGUGGGGAUUGUCUGGUCCAGACUUAAUUAUUUACCGGCCACUGUCAUAAAGAUGGAAUAUUGCUGAGUGCUGCAUUAAACCCCAAACAAACGGUAACAAAAAUCGAGACAGACACUUCAACGGCUUGUUUAGCACAAAUAGAAGUCAGCAAAGCUGCAGAUGUUGAACUCAUGGAGUUGUAUUGAUGGUCAGUGGUUCUUGUGUUCAUACUAGGUGAAAGGAAGUCAAUAGCCAUCAAAGUUUUUAGUUCAUAUUCUCACAUGUUGUGAGUGUUGAGUUUCUUGACCUUGAAACACUCAAGUUUCAAUGAGUCUUGUGUGUGUGGUGUUUUGUGACCUUGAAACAAUCAAUUUUCAAUGAGUCUUGUGUUUAUGGUAUUUCGUGACCUUGGAACAAUCAAUUUUCAAUGAGUCUUGUGUUUAUGGUAUUUCGUGACCUUGAAACACUCAAGUUUCAAUGAGUCUUGUGUGUGGUGUUUUGUGACCUUGGAACACUUUCAUAUCACAGUGAGUCUCCUGUGUGGCAAGAUUCUAGUGUGGUGCAAAGAUUGAGGAAACACUGAUUGUGAAGGCCAUACAAGAAAAGUGAAGUAACACUGUCUUCAUUGUCAUCUGUGUGUGUAAGUUCUUGUUUUACACAUAGAUCAAUGGAAUUGGGAUGUUCAUGCAAGGAAAGCAAAGUAACUCUUGGCAUCCAUUGUCAUCAGUGCAUAAUGACUGCAUGUAUAUAUCCUCACAUCAACAAACUUGGAUGACCAUGGAAGCAACUGAACACUGCUGUGAGAUCACUGUGAAUGUGCAUGACUGUAAAUGUGCAUGACUGUAAAUGACCAGCAAGAGUUGGCAAAUUCUUUUGGAGAUCACAUUGCUCAGGAGUCCCCUGAUCCACCUUAAACUUUCCCAGAGCAGAAUACUGUAGGUUUGGGCACAUUUGUAGAGGCUGAGCAAGAGGGUCCCCAGCAGGGCUUUUUAACACACAGGACUGAACGUAGACCUCAGAGACGAUCUGAUACAAAGAAAUCUUUCUCUUGUCCUCAGUGCGACAAAUCGUUCACUGCUAGUAGUGCCAGAUUAAGACAUAUCCAUGCAAUCCAUGACAAGCUGUUGUAUUAUUGCAUAUGUGGGAAGGUGUACAAUUACCAGCAGAAUUAUCUCCGGCAUAAGAAAACAUGCUACUUGUGCACAACUGGCAAUAUGACUGUUUAGAAUAUGAUGUGUCUGGCUCUUCGAGGAACUCUUUUCUUGGUGUGAUCUUGCUGAAGCUGGAGUAAAACUCAACUCACUCACUGAAGUCAUGAAGCAAAUGUCAGUCAUACAAAAUGAACAUAUGCUGACCUCAAAUUUGUCUCUUGCAUUCGGCAACAGGGAAAGGUUUUCUUUUCGAAAUGAAGGGGGUUCUUGUGGACCUUGAUGGUUGUUCUUUUAUAUUUGAGUCUGGUGACUAAAUCUUGACCUUUUAUCAUUGUCAACCACUGCAAAUAGUGUGAUUUCUGUGAAUCUGUUAGUGAUGAUGCAUAGAUUGAGUUUAUCGGGCUCAUCUGACGUAAAAUCAACAUAUCACAUCCGAUUUGAUCAAAAUUAUUGCCACUUGAACAAGUUCAGUUUAAAGAGAUUUAGAGAUAACUCUUCAUGAUAACUUGGAGGUGAGUUAGGCUUUAGGUGGUUGCUAAUUUGGAGAUAGCUCUUGCAGAAUCUCCUGAUAACUUGGAGGUGAGUUAGGCUUUAGGUGGUUGCUUAUUUGGAGAUAGCUCUUGCAGAAUCUCCUGAUAACUUGGAGGUGAGUUAGGCUUUAGGUGGUUGCUAAUUUGGAGAUAGCUCUUGCAGAAUCUCCUGAUAACUUGGAGGUGAGUUAGGCUUUAAGUGGUUGUUAAUUUGGAGAUAGCUCUUGCAGAAUCUCCUGAUAACUUGGAAGUGAGUUAGGCUUUAGGCGGUUGUUAAUUUUGUGACAGGGUUCUGUUCCAACAAAGUGUAAAGGCUGUCCUUGGUGUCUCUCUCUAUAAAUUUUGCUGGAAUAAUGUGAAAAGUGCCAUAAACUGGCUGCUCAGUCAAGUUUUACAAGUGUCCCGUGAACGAGGAGCAAAUUCCUGGGAUAGAGAACUGAGUACAACCUGUGUUGAUGGAGGUUACAUGUCAUUUUCUUGCUCUGGUACUCCAAUGCUAGGUCUACAUGCUGAGUUUCUCCAUGUGAAGGACAUACAGAGAGUCAUGUCUGUGUUAGGUGUAUUUGUUGCUUGUGAAGGAUGUUAUAUAGAUAGUGAUGUCUGUUUUAUAUGUGUUUGAUCCAUGUAGAGGAUCUGCAUAUCAACUAGCUGGAGUGGCUUUUAAUUUCCGUUUUUACGUUGACAAGUUUUCCUGGCCGAAUCUGUUGAUGGGAAAUGAACUGUAUCAUGGUGUAUCGCUAAUAGAAUGUUUUGUAAUAUUGACAUAAUACAAUCUUAUGUAAAUGACCAUUUUCAAUUAAAAGUUUUAAUCAUU